CCAUGGCAACCGCGCGGCGCGGACACCCAAGCGCAGCCCUGCAGAUGGGCAGCGUCGGGUCUGACAUGCACCUCUGGGAAGCUGAGGGAACAGAUGGUGUUUCCAAGUGCUACACGCGAGGUUUUCGCUUGGGAAAGGCAAAUAUUGAGCGCUGCGCCACAAACACGCUGUUGGGAGAGCGGCACGCAGAGAUGCUCCUUCGCUUCCCCUUCAAACAAGUGUGGUGGUCGCGAUGCAGUUCCCGAGGCAGCGUGGUCCCGGUGAAGGUGAUGCCUGGCACUGUGACAGGUCACAAACACUGAGGGCACUGUGUUAUCCCAGCCUCUGUUUUGCAGUACACGCAGCUGAAAUAGAUUUGAGAAGUGCACAGCACGAGGCUGGCAGAUCAACACCCACUUGAGAAAUAGGGCGAGUGCUGCUCUCCAUGAGGCUCUGGCAACAGGAGCUACAGGACCUGAGGCACCCCAAGUGCAUCCAGGGAGCUGCUGUAAGGCUGGGGCUGUGUCAGCUGCAGUGAGUCAAUAACGAGCACACACAGGACUGUACAGGAAGGCUGGACACAACAGGUCAGUUUUUUAUUAACCAAAAGUGAAGCUGAACCCCAGAGUGGUUUAACUUGUUAAAACCAUAUGUUUUUAUAUGGCAGAUAUUUUUCUUUCAUGUUCAACACUACAGUGCAAGAACCAAACUUCGCAGCUGUUCAUCCUUUGAGAAUCAAGUACUAAAAGUAAAGUGAAUUAAAAUAAGGGUCCCUCAAUGAAUUAAUUAAAAAACCAUUUAACUCAAAAGAACAGACCAAUUUUAAGAACUGUCUUAUUAAAUUUUCCCAAGUGAAAGACCUUUAAAAGCACUUGGAGCCUUGAGGUAGCAACUUUAUGCAGAAUUCAAUUCCCCUCCUGCCCCACAGAGGAAAAUUAGUAGCGCAUUAUUAGCUCCAGCCAGCUAAGCUGAGUGUCUCCUGUGAGGUUAGUGACUUUCUCUUGCCUCUUGAAAUAGCAGUGGAGUGCUGCAGAGCUCCAGGAGAAAAUCCACAGGGAAGGCCUCUUGAAAUAAAAUA